rnacentral:rRNA from 1 species
AUUGAACGCUGGCGGCAUGCCUUACACAUGCAAGUCGAACGAGUGUAGCAAUACACAAGUGGCGGACGGGUGAGUAAUGCAUCGGAACGUAUCCUAUUGUGGGGGAUAACGUAGCGAAAGUUACGCUAAUACCGCAUACGACCUGAGGGUGAAAGCGGGGGAUCUUCGGACCUCGCGCGAUAGGAGCGGCCGAUGUCGGAUUAGCUAGUAGGUGGGGUAAAGGCUUACCUAGGCGACGAUCCGUAGCGGGUCUGAGAGGAUGAUCCGCCACACGGGGACGGAGACACGGCCCAGACUCCUACGGGAGGCAGCAGUGGGGAAUUUUGGACAGUGGGCGCAAGCCUGAUCCAGCCAUGCCGCGUGAGUGAAGAAGGCCUUCGGGUUGUAAAGCUCUUUCGGACGGAAAGAAAUUGCUUCGGAUAAUACCUGGAGUAGAUGACGGUACCGUAAGAAGAAGCACCGGCUAACUACGUGCCAGCCGCCGCCGUAA